AUGCAGAUGGAGCACGCCAUGGGAGUUCCCCAUCCACCAUGGUCGCUGUCGUCAAGGGCUUCUUCAAGGAGAUGUGAAGGACGCCAUCGACCUGCAGCUACUCAAGGUUUUAUUCCACCUUUCCUCUUAUAUCAAGUUCUAACAGUACAUUGGGGGAGUGGGGGCGGAGAAGGCACCCCACCUGAAUUUUCAUUUCUCAAGUCUCAAGCGGCGACAGUACCCGGCAACACGAGUACAGGGAGUGUUUUUACUGGUUACGUCCAAAGUGGAGAACUAAGAACAACAGCCUCAAGGAAACUAUACGGAGAGAGCUAGGAGGAUUGGUUUCCAGUCCAGGAGUGAGCUCCUGUCUUUUGAUUUGAAAUGAAACGCCCACUGGGAGAGGUCUGCAGCUGCUGCUUUCGUGAGGCUGGUCAUGGAGGGGCGCAUGCCCUGAGGUGGGUGGGUGUUAGCUAUGACGAGAAAACAUAUGAAGUUUCUGCUAUUGUUAAGCCUGAUGUCGAAGAGUUGGAAAUGAUUUGUGAAUCUCUGUGCACGUAAAUGGAACAUUGGACAAGUUAAGCCAUGUGUAUUCCAUCUCCUUUAAUAUAUUGCUUGUGAUUGGCCUAAUAGAGAGUCUGCAAGACGUGAUUUGUACUCAAAGCAUCUCAUCCAGAUCACUUUACAAUACUUUUCUUCAUAUCUAGAAAAUGCGUGUAUGCAUAUCAGUUUCGUGAACAAUUUUUUUGAAUAUCCAGGUCACUUUAUGCAUAUCCAGAUCACUUUACAAACAGAACAAAUGCGUGUAUUCCUUUUUCAUCAUAUCCAUAUCUAGAAAAGCAUUCCUCCAUGUAAUAGGGUUUUUGAAAGCAGUAUGCAUAUAUGUUUCGUGAAUAAUUUUUUUUUGUUAUUGCAACCAUAAGAAAGAAUCUUACUGGAUUGUCCUGGAAAAUAUUAGUCAUCUAUUGCCGAUAACUAGAUCCGUGUUAACUCAAUAGGGUGAUCUAGCGAGUUAUCUUGAGACAAAAAGUCGCCUGCAAUCUUAUAAAGUGAUCAGAUUUGCCCCUGAGACUGCAAGGUAUGUUAGGAUUCAUAACAUAUGUAUCUUCUUUUCCUAUUUUUUCCUUUUAAAGUUGUAACUACCAUUUGAGAAUUGACUUAAACUGCUCGCAUUAGUGCAUCAUUUUGUAUUCACCUGAAAAUAAUGUAGCAUUGACUGAAACUGCUCACCAUUUGAAGUAUUGACUGAAACAUUAACUACCAUUGAAGUAUUUUCUUUAUUUUUUUUGACUAGAAAAGCAUGAAGAUGAAUUAAGUUGAUUCAUGUAGAUGAAAUGGUUUUCCAUUUCCAUUUGUGUCGUUUCAGUGAAACAAAAUGAUAUUGCAGCUCUUUUCAUUUAUGUCUUGUUUCAUUGCAUUAUUAUCUUCCAUGAUUUCUUUUUCACCAAUACAUUUUGUUGCAUAUAUGGAGGCCAUCUACUUUUCUGCUGAUAUUUGUUAUUAUAUCAUCUUGUUUGCGAACUUAAAAAGGUCCCUCAAAGAGAAGCGUUUUUCAUGUGCUCCUGAAUCUGGUGUGCGGUAUGAUGGAGUUUACAUAUUGAGAACUGUUGGAGGAAGACUGGUAUUCAGCGGAGGGUCACAGAUUCACAGGUGUAAGGAUCGGUACAAUUAGGCCUCGCAUUAUUUUUUCCAGAAUUGGGUGUGCGUACUCUCUAAACUGAUUUGAGUGAGCUAAAUCUGUGCAUCUAAAUUGUAGUCUGUAGCUUUAUGUGUUACUCCCUCCGUUCCAAAUUACUUGUCGUGGUUUUAGUUCAAAUUUGAAUAAGGUUCAAGUUGAAGAUUGCCUUUGGGAGUAGUUUAGUUGAUAGAAGUUUCAGGCUACAAAUACGCACACAUUAUGUGCUUAAUGUGUGGCAUAAACAUGAUCAGCUUUAUGUUUAGAAACCAAAUCACUGUCCACCCAUUUUAUUUCUUCAUGAGUAUUUUGUGUUGAAAUCAGAUCACCGUUCACCUUUCUGUGUAUUGUUGUCUUUAAUUUUUUUUUGCUGAUUCUCAAUAAAAUGCUCAGUUUCAGGAUGUGAUUUUCAGUUUUAGGCAUUUGGUACUUUCGGCAUCGAGAAAAAAAUUGUUCCUCUGAGUGUGUACCUUCAAAUGCAAAGUUCUGACUAUGAUUUCACGUGCAACCACAGCGCCGUUGGCCGCUCUGCCUACCGAGUGCCACCCCGCCGCCUCCUCCCACCCCCCACCUGGGACCUCACCGCCUGCUCCCCGCCCGGCACACCCACAACGCUUGAGGCUGAGCAGAUGCCAUUGGCCCGUGGGCACGGAAGCAGAGUCCAGGAUGGUGAUGGUGCCAAGGAGGACUCUCGGACGUCGACCGGUUGCAUCGUUGCUGCCGUAUCCAUGGAGUGGCGCGGCUCCAACCACUCUGAGAUGAUAUUCCUCUCUCUUUCUUUCCUGAAAGAACUAAGAAUCUUGUGUCAUCCUUUUUUUUAAAUAAAGUACAACCUGCUAGCUACCUGAUGGGCAUUGUCUCUGAACUUUUCAACCCCUUCAGUUCUGCCGAUGCACUGUAGACUCUAACAAUGGUGGAAAGGAAUCAGAUUCCAAUAAACUAGCACUACUGUGUUUUUACACAGUUGCCUUUUUUGCUAAAUUAACUAGCUUCUUCAUGGUAGAGUAGGUACAAAGAUACUCUCUGAUGAAUUUUGUUGGUAUUGUGUAAAGUAGAAAGCCUGACACUACUUCGUUGGUAACUGAGUUAACCAAUCGCAGAACUAGAAACAAGUAGGUGACAGGAAGAUUUGUGGAUUGUGAAACUUUUACUCAAUCUUAUCCCCAGGCCGCACAACAUUUUCUUUAGCAAAGGUGUCUCUGUUGCUGAGAUUCUUACACAUGGCUGGGAGUCGGCGCAAAGUACAUGGACACAUUGGUGCUAUAUUUUAAAAUUGUGAAACAGCAUCCAAGCUACUCCCUCCGUUUCAAAAUACUUGACUUCCAUUUGUCCAAAAAUGGAUGUACCUAUAUACUAAAACAUGUCUAGAUACAUCUAUAUUUUGACAAAUGGAAGGCAUGUAUUGUGGAACGGAGGGAGUACUUGUGAAGGUGUCAAUUUCUGCAUUGAUAAAGAUUCAAUUAUACUUCUGAUGGGAUUUUUUCUGUUAGCUAUCUGUACAAGAGAAUGAACUUGAGAAAUAUUAAUUUCUAGAUAAAUUUCUUUGGAAAGUGAAGCUUCCCCUGAAAAUUAAAGUUUUUCAUGGCUGGUUUUGAAAAAAUAAACAUACUUACUAAAGUCAAUUUAUUCAAACGAUGUUUUCAGGGAGAUAAAACCUGUCAAUUACGUGGUAGAGAUGAGAUUAUUGACCACUUAAUUGCUGGUUGCUAAGUUGAUCUAAACCAUUUUGCAAUGUGCAUUGAACCCGAAAACUCUACCUGAUACUGUUGUGACUUAUUUAGCUCUUGGUUGUUGUAUUAUGUAUUGUUCUGAAGGAGAUUAGAUCUUCAGAAGAAACUCCAAUGCAUCGAAUAUUAAAAGAAAAUCAUGAAGACUCACAUGCAUAUUGUUCACCAGGCUCAUCAAUGGCAUCAUACGACUCGUAACACCACCGACUUGAUCACAAAUCAGUCGUUGGUUGCAUGCCGUAGCACUAUCAGUUCCUUGUGGUGAUCGUGGUUACUGUUUGUUUGUGGUGCAGAGGAAUCAGUACAACAACAGAACUUGAAGCUGACAAGGAUGGAUGAUGGUUGGUUUUGGUGGAGAGAUCGGGUGCAUAUGAACAACCUAUUAUCUUCCUUUUUUGUUUUUCAUCAUUCAACGGGACAAUUUCCUAAUUCUUUUUUAGUACUGUCUGGAAAGGUUAUUAGUACAUAUAGGUUUGUCAAAAUUUAUUAGCACAUAUGAGGUUCUUUGUUUGGACCCCCUUUGGCUCUACAUAAUUCUUUGGAGUGGGAUUCUAGAUAGAUGCUUUUAUUGAUUUUCUCCCAUUGCAACGUACGGGUAUGUUUACUGUAAUAAUAAAGUCAGAAGGAGAAGGGCGAGGUCCAGAUGGAGCUCUACCAGUUCCACCGCUUUCAUA